rnacentral:lncRNA from 1 species
UCCAACUCCCACUCGACAGUUGAUGAAAUUGCAGUUCUUUCACAUACCUCCUUUGUUCCUGAGCAGUGAGGAGUUUUCAGUUCGUUUCUAAGGUGCUAAAAGAGGAGCAGAGUGGCCUGAGCUCGGGAUGCCUCACCCAAAGCUCUAACAGGAUGUAUCUUUUAACAGGAUGGAGGUGUGAUGGUUCUCAGUGUGCUGUAGAGUCUGCUCUCCAGAAAGACAAAGGAGGCACAGAGCAGACCUGUUGAUUUUGGGGCUUCUGCUUGAAGUACAGCUCUCUGUCUCAUUCACAAGGCUUCUUUUCCUACAGCCAGGGAGAGACUGUCAUGUCUCUUCAUGGAAGGUGAAGCUCUGGACCUGCUGAUGGAGCCAUCAAAGAAGAACCAGCUCUGCUUCAGAGUGUCUUGCUGUGAUGCUCAAAUAUGCAACACUUGCUUCUCAGCACUGGCUAGGUUUGAUCCUCUGCUCCCCAAAUGCUAAUCUACAUCUGUGUCAUAGUCUGGAACAGUGGAUGGUGAUGGGAUUUCAGCUGUCGAUGACAAGCAAGAAACAAAGGUUAAGAAAAUACCUAUAACCUCAUGACUUCCUGAGAAAACAAGGUGCACAUGAUGACGGCUUACAAAAACAAUCUGCUGUCCUAGUAAAAACCUAAUGCAAUCCAUCCUACAUUCCUUGUGUUAUCAAAUAUAAAAUCUGAAGUAAAUCAAGCAUUUUUCUGGCCAGUGCCCUUUUCCCUGCCUAAACCCCUACGUAAUGUGUUGG